GUUAGUGGCGAACGGGUGAGUAACACGUGGGCAAUCUGCCCUUCACUCUGGGACAAGCCCUGGAAACGGGGUCUAAUACCGGAUAAUACUCCUGCCUGCAUGGGCGGGGGUUGAAAGCUCCGGCGGUGAAGGAUGAGCCCGCGGCCUAUCAGCUUGUUGGUGGGGUAAUGGCCUACCAAGGCGACGACGGGUAGCCGGCCUGAGAGGGCGACCGGCCACACUGGGACUGAGACACGGCCCAGACUCCUACGGGAGGCAGCAGUGGGGAAUAUUGCACAAUGGGCGAAAGCCUGAUGCAGCGACGCCGCGUGAGGGAUGACGGCCUUCGGGUUGUAAACCUCUUUCAGCAGGGAAGAAGCGAAAGUGACGGUACCUGCAGAAGAAGCGCCGGCUAACUACGUGCCAGCAGCCGCGGUAAUACGUAGGGCGCAAGCGUUGUCCGGAAUUAUUGGGCGUAAAGAGCUCGUAGGCGGCUUGUCACGUCGGAUGUGAAAGCCCGAGGCUUAACCUCGGGUCUGCAUUCGAUACGGGCUAGCUAGAGUGUGGUAGGGGAGAUCGGAAUUCCUGGUGUAGCGGUGAAAUGCGCAGAUAUCAGGAGGAACACCGGUGGCGAAGGCGGAUCUCUGGGCCAUUACUGACGCUGAGGAGCGAAAGCGUGGGGAGCGAACAGGAUUAGAUACCCUGGUAGUCCACGCCGUAAACGUUGGGAACUAGGUGUUGGCGACAUUCCACGUCGUCGGUGCCGCAGCUAACGCAUUAAGUUUCCCCGCCUGGGGAGUACGCGCAAGGCUAAACUCAAGGAAUUGACGGG
rnacentral:rRNA from 1 species